rnacentral:tRNA from 1 species
GGCCUGAUAGUUCAGCAGCAGAAUUCUUGCCUUUGGUGCAAGAGACCUCCGUUUCGAGCCCGAGUUGGGCCC